UACAGAGGUGCCAAGCGUUGUUCGGAUUUAUUGGGCGUAAAGGGUGCGUAGGUGGUGAUGCAAGUCGGAUGUGAAAUCCCGGAGCCUAACUCCGGAAUGGCAUUCGAAACUGCAUCGCUCGAGGUCUGGAGAGGUGACUGGAAUUCUCGGUGUAGCAGUGAAAUGCGUAGAUAUCGAGAGGAACACCAGAGGCGAAAGCGAGUCACUGGACAGAACCUGACACUGAGGCACGAAAGCCAGGGGAG
rnacentral:rRNA from 1 species